ensembl:lncRNA
UUUCAAAAAUAAUCCCCCAAAUUUGGCAAGAAAAUUCUUGUAAAUAUUUUCAAAAAAAUGAGUAAAAAUCUUCCAAAAAAUCCUAAAAAUAUCUAAAGUGAUUACAUAUAUAUGAGUAAAGCUUCUAAUAUUUUCUUUAAGAACAUUCAUAUAAAAAUCAACCAAAACCCAGCGAAGUUCGCUGGAUUUUGGUUGAUUUUUUUGUGAAUGUUCUUAAACAUUUUUAACAUUUCUUUUUUUCCACUAAAAAAUGUUCAAAGAUUUCCCAAAAAUGUUGGAAAUGUGGACAUCAGAAGUUUCACUGUGAAAAUGUAUGUAUUUUCCACAUUUUCAGACUUUAGAAUCGGUCAGUUUUGACCCGCAGGACGACAGGAGGGUUAACAUGUUCUUAGUAAAACAGGCACUAAAAUGUUGAGCUUGAAAGAGGAGAAAUUAAACUACAAUAUCCUCAAAGUACAUGAACUGCAGUCAGAGCGAGGUAUAAAAACGUCCUUUCUUUGGCGUUUCGUGGGCGUUCAGCUGCGUGGUUGUGUGAGGUCUGGCAGGUCCAGUGGUGGUCUGACGGUUUGGGGUGUUUUGGGACAGAAGAGACACUGAAGAGGCUCGCGGUCGCCUUUUGAUGAGGCCAGAUGAGACCUUCAGCCACAUUCCUCGUCAGUCUCCUGGGCUGCCGCUCGCCACAUUACUGCCUGCUGUCCAAACAAACAGGGCCGGUCUCAGAGGGCCUCCUGAGCCAUGCCAAGCCGAGCCGGGACAAACCGCCCACCUCUGACGGUCCUAAAAUAUAGAUUCUCCAUUUUUAACUCUGGCAACAAGACGCUUUUUGAGCUGUUCCACAUGUAGGCUGCUGUUCUGAUGUCCAGUCGUCGACACGCUAGUUCAGCCCUGGACCAGACUCAUUGUCCUCCCUGAUGACUUGACGUCUCUGUCUGUCACCGAGACGCAGAUACAAAGACGACGCACAAUGAGACGCAGCACUGCCUCCGGUGGCCGCCUGGCAUCCUGACAGGGUCUCUUUCAAAGGUUACAUGUCAAUCCCAUCUGACAGCCGUGAUAAAGACUUUGGGAUCUGGGCAGGAAUCAAUGUUGUGAAACGGCACCAAGUUAUGCAAAACCGAGCAAUUAUUACAACUUGUUUCCUUGUUUUAAUGUUGUGACCUGACAGCAAAUGUACUGUUACUGAGCAUUACUUAUAAACACUGAAAAAGUACAGAGAGAGGAUGUUUUUUUUCUAAACUCUGGUGUGUUUCUGGGAGGUUAAAGUGUUAUUUUCCCUCAGUUUCAAUGGGAUACAGUAAAGUUCAUAUCUAGUCUGAACCUCUAAGUGUCCCCAAUGUGCCUUUCAAUGGGAAUAUUUGGAUUUGUUGGGUUUUCCAUGUACAAUUUUAUCGAAUAUGAACCAUUAUUGUAAAUAUACUAAAAUUUGGAAGGUUAAUCUUCUUCCUUUUUUUAGUUUGAAAAAGUUUUCAUAAAACAUUAGUCCUUUUACAUAGUCUCAGUAUUGCUGCAAGUGGAUUUACAUUCCGUACGACUAAAAUAAAAUAUACCGCAGUAUGUUGAUAACCCCUUGUAACUGGGUUUUUAUGGAAAACAUGAAAUUGCCUGGGUGACCCCAAACUUUUGAACGGUAGCAUAGAUGUAACAAUCAAGAUUCAUAUUUAAACCAUUAUCCUACUUCAUUAGUGUUAACCAAUCAGAAAUGAAUUGACUGAAAUAUUUCCAUUAUUUAUUAUAAACCCGGUCAUUUAAGGUUCCAUUAUUACUUCCAUUAUGUAUUCACAGUCUUGAUAGUGAAAAAUCAAGGUAUUAGUUCUUACCAAACAUCAGAUCUGAUGGUUUACACAACAGGACUGGACUUCUCUUUAGUUGCCACUGAGUUCCUGUUUAUCUGUCU